UUCUCACGAAGGCCCAUGAUACUGACUGGUGCUCUGAUGCAUGGUGAUGUAUACAUUUUUCAGUUUGUCAAAACAGUGCCAGAUUUCUGGUCAAGGGUCUCAGUUGAGCUGUAUGGGCUCUGUGACCUUUAUGAAGAGAAUCAAAGAAGCAAUUCAGACUAAAAGGUUUUGGGAACCUAUGUGUGCCUUUUCCAUUUCGGAAAUAAUGGCGCUCAGGAUCACCUUUGUCACAGGGAUGAAAGGCUAACUUAUGUGAGAAGUUUGUUUUCUAGAAGGUGUGGACUGGGAGGUGGGGAGCACAUGUUGUGCUUAAAAGAUGGUGGAGGUAGGAGAGGCUCCUGGAACACAUUACUGCUCUUGUCCGCACUGCACAUGAGUGUUUUGUCUUGUUGACAGUCCUGAAGUAGCUAGAGAAUACUGUGUUGCAGUACCCAAGAGGAGGGCAGGUUCAUGAACAGUAUGUUGACGCUUUCAGAACAGAAGCAUAUGCGCUAGGAAAACCAACCAGUUCAUCUACUCUUUCCUCCACCUUCAAACAGGUUCAUGGACAGCAUAGCUGAAGACAUCAAGGCAAUACAUCCUGAAAGAGACCCAAGAUGAGUUACUGCUAGGAGACUCUGAAUUCUCUAGCAAGACAUGUAGAUGGAAGGAUUUUUGUAGAAGAUGAAGCAGCUGAGUGCUGACAAACUGUCUGGAUAUGUCUCUGAUCCAACAAGUGCCUCUCUUCAGGCUGAUCUGCAUUUGCUGUUCCCAGCUCCCAUGAACUCUUACAACAUAAAGAACAGAACAGCACUGGGACCUCUACAAUGUACUGGAUGCAAGUAAAUGCGUGGGGAAAAACUGCCUGGAGAUCAGCAGCACCACAUAUGUGGAUAUUUGCUUCUCUCACCUGCUGGGUCAAGACCAUGUCAGCUAGAACACCCACAGGGUCUUACUGGAAGGAAACCAUCUCUUCGUUAAAUGCAAGCAAAGAAGACCUGUGUGUGAACAAGUGUUUCAUGAUUGAUGCUUGAAAUAUGAAGAUCUUCAGCCCAAAACCUGUGAAUACAUUGUGGUGCCUGCAGGGGAGUUUUGCCUCCACACACAACUGCAGAGAAGAGAAACCAUAGGCAUUUCAUUCCAUUUUUCCCCUGGAGUGGAAGGGAGCUGCAAAUUGGUUAUGGAGAGUGAAAAUGAUAAUGCACUAUAGAGAAAUACGGGCCAGAUAAGACAGCAGAGGCCUUGAGAAGCAGAGACACCAGAUGCGGCAUAAAGGAGUACAGGCAUGGAGUGAUAAUAGAUGGGGCACAGGCUGGCACUUCAGACCCCACAGCUAUAAACAGCUCACCAAUGGUCAGUUAAAGAAAUGCACACCUAGAGCUGGACAAAACUUGUUUCAGGUGUAACAAACUGAAGAAAGAAAUUGUAUCUAACAUUUGUAAAAGGCACCAUACAUAGCAAAUUCAGAUGUGCUAUGGAGCUGAAGACCAAUGAAGAAAGAGCAAGGUGUAAAAGCAUGUAAGCAAAUGUAUAAAAAUGACCCCAAGUGGAUCCUAGAUUGAGGAAGACACCAUCAAGAUGAACAUCUUAUUCCUCCCAGUGAAGGACUCCAGAUGCUGACAACUCGUCACGACACCCCGCAUUUCCACUGCCAGAAAAAUACGCCAACCUUGGGACCCUGAGGAGCAGAAGAAGGAUGAGCAUGAGAGCAGGAUAAAGGGUAAAAACUGAGAGAGAAGAGAAAAGAGAGAGAAGAGAAGAGAAGAGAAGAGAAGAGAAGAGAAUGAAGCAAAGAAAAAAAUAUCCAACUGUAAACAUCAUCCAUUUGAAGGUGCAAAAUAAGAAAAUGUAAUACAAAAACCAGAAUCUUUUAAAAAUGACUGAAAUAUUUCCUAAAAAUUUUAUUUUCCUCUUUUCUUAUCUUUAGCUUAAAUUUAUUUGUGUUUAAGUUUAUUCUACUUAUCCCAGGUGGUAAAUAUGGUGUCAUACAAGUUUAAAAAAACUCAAACCCCAAGGAUCUAAUCCUAGAUUAGAUCAGCUGAGCUUUAUCUAAAAACUAUGUUCUUUCAGAACAUGCAGUGAUUUCAUCAUUACUCUGCCUCUGGAUUAAAUUAAUCCUUUUCUGUUUCUUUUGGGAAUUUAGCAAUGCCCUUUAUAGCAGGGCUUUUUUCAUCUCACAAUGGUGUUGUUGUAUACGAGUUGGCCUUUGAUAAUGCAAUCUUGUUUCCAUGGUCUGCAUCCAUUUGAAGGGGAUGUCCUGAUUUAAUUAAAGACUGCAACUGUGCAUUCCCUGUAUGGUUAUGUUCAAAAGCACAGAGCACUGCGAGCUUCCCUUGCUUGCCCCAAACUGAAACAAAUUGUUUUUGAAGCUGACAGGUUGAGGUGGAGUUCCCAAUUGUGUGGCCUAAUUUCCUGUUAUCUUACUGUCAGGAAAUAGCUGGUGCCCCACUCCCAGCAGGAGUGAGGAGGGGUAGCACCACUGCAAUACGCCGGUUGGACGGCUGGAAUACUUCUGCUGGUAUCCAGGAGCCACACAAAAUGUGGCAUUUCCCUCUUGGGAACAAAAAAAAAAAAAAAGAAAAAAGAAAAAAAAAAAGAAAGGAAAAAUCAAUAUAUAGAAAUUAAUGUGCCUUUGUGAAGAUUCAAAACAGAUGGGGAAAAGGUCAAGGAUUCUUUGUUGCUAAGUGCGUUUCUAUGACAACUGCAAUAUGUAUGUUAUGAGUGAGCAAUCAUUUGUUCCAGCUGCUGGAUCAUUAAAGUGGUAGCAUCUCCCAGAACACUGGAAAUGUUAUUCAUGGCUUAUUUACUUUUUCUUUGCCACCCCUUUAAAUCAAGGUUCAACAGGUAGCACUCUGUAAGCACAUGAAAGCCUCAGUCAAUCUGAGCAUGCUAAACCACAGGUCUGUGUGAGUCCAUGCUGCACAGUGAGUACCUUGCAGGAUGCUGGGGGAGCUUACUAAGGAGAUUAGGGAGAUUAAUAUAGAUCCAGUCGUGCAAUUCAAUCUGUACACAUCUGAUGUUGGGCUGUGUUGGAUGCCUUUUCUGUAGAAUUUAUGGCAUGACUUCAGAGAGGUCUGAGACUUGUCUCUCUUCAGUCCACUACAGCAUGGGAAUAACAGUACGUACAAAGACUUAAAAAAUGUUUGGAUGUCAUCCUACAAAAAGUUAAUUAACUAAAGUGUCAAUAGUAAAACACUCCUUUCUUCACAUGUUGAAAUAAAAGGACAAAGUUUUCAUCACCGCCUGGUUUUCCAUGCUCCAUUUACUAUGACAGCAUGGGGAUCCGGUGCAAGAAGCACAAGUUUCAUUCGGAUUCAAUUUUAUGAGCCUUUCCAUUUAUGUCAUUUCACUAACUUCAUUUUCUGUUGUUUUCAUGGAAGAAUAAAACUAUAAUGGGGUUGAUACAGGGUCAAUAUCCAUUGCCAGGGAUAUUGAUGACCGAGUUGGGUAUUAUUUCUGUUCCGUGAAUUGUGUAUCUGGAAAAGGUGGCCACAUCAGUGUCUCUCAGCCUACCACUCAGUCAUUUCUGGUUGCACGUGAGCCACUCUGUCUUCCCUCGCGGUGCUGUAGCUGACAGCCAGAAAACACCUCUCUAACUUUCAAUAUGACGUCUUGUAGAAAAUUUCAAAGUCUAUUUAUUGAUUAAAAGAAAAAGGAAAAAGAAAUAGUC